CUUUGUCUGUAUAAAAAUAAAAACGACACAAAUACCAGCAACCAGCUUCAACAAUAUACAUGUCCCCAUGGUUUGGAAAUGUCUUGGAGGCUACCAGCAGUCACCUUCCUGGGCUGUGGGGGCAAGUCGCUUCGACAUCAGUCUUUUUAUUCUUGUUUCCCUUCAUCUUCCGGAGUGGAAACACACCAGAAGAUAACGCCUCUGCGUGUUCCUUCUCCAAUCUCACGCUAUUCAGAUGUGAGGACCGUGUGUCUGAGCUCCAGGCAGUCCAGCUUCAGCGUGAUGACCAAGUCAUGGCCAGAAUCAUGAGACGACCUAUAUGCAUCAGGUGUCUGUGUUAACGUGAAUGAGAGGGUGAGAGGAGGAGAGAUGGAAAGACCUUAUGAAGAAUCCCCGUGGCAACUAAAACAAAUCCAGACAAAACAGUCUACAGUCUUCCAGCUCGGCCGUAUAGCCUUGGGGAGAGAUGGAUUCCCACCACCACCACCACACGACUGCCUUGCCGUGUGCUCUGCAGCACAAAAUGACAGGCACCAAAAGUAAACACAGAGAGUUCAAGGCCAGCCUGGUCUAAAAAGUUCCAGGCCAGCCAUGGCUAUAUACUGAUACUCUAUCCCCUGUAAAAUCCACCACUGCCACCACCAACACUGCCAAUAACAAAAAUAAACACGGAUUGACAUAAUAUAGCAGGGCUGGAGAGGAGAGGACAGCUCCCUCCAAGUUAUAGCUAAGCAUGUGUGGAAAGAGAGAUGUCAGAAAGAACUUUCUAGUCUGGCUCCUUCCAAAACCCACCAGCGCGAGGUCAACACCACAGUAAAUAGCAGUCAUUUUAAGGAGCGAUGGUCCUGCUCAGAAGGAGGGCUUAGGGGGCAACCUAGCCUAGGGAAUGUGAGCUUCCCUUGUUGACCUUGGUUUGCUUCUGACUUUCUGAAGCAUGCUGUGAUGUUGUCUUCACGGGGAAUGCAGAGUCAGGAGGAAGUGACACAGCCUGGUAAUUAUUUUAGACAAUUGCGCGGCAGUGGAAUAAGGCCUUGAAUGCUUCCCAUAGAAUCCUUUUGAUCAAAACAUUUACUCUGCCAGAGCUAAGACUGCAGCAUGCCUCUGAAUAAUUAGACAAGUUCCCAUCCAGUGGUAUGGUGAGGGGGAAGCCAUGCCCACCAGGUUUCUCCUGCACACAGAGAGGUUUUAUUCGCUGCUCUGAAAUAUCUUCCUUAUGAAUUCCAGUGUGUUAUGCUUACUAUUAAUGUCUUAAUGAUAGUGACAGGAGACUGUUUAAACCUCAUUUCAUGGCCGACUUUCUAUAUAGAAACGCUCUCUCUCUCCUCCCAUAUGCGAUUUUCUGUCUAUUCAUUAAUUGCACUGCUGCUCUCCUAAGUUUAUUUACUGCUUCUAAAUAUGUAUCUUAAUUUACAUGUCAAGUCCCACGGGGUGGCUAUAAAAUGUAAAAUCUUAUAUAAUAGCAGAAGCAGCCGCAAAUAUUUUAUAUCCGAGGCUGCUUCUGAAUCCUAAUUCUGCAGAUGGCGUGAGGUUCAUUUUUAUAGAAGCCAUUGAAAACUAAUAAAUGCCAUCCACAUCACUCAGCAUUGUCAAUAAUCUACCAGAUUGUGUGCCCAGGGAUGCUCGGGAAGCAGGAUGAGAGGCCGGCCCUUCCCUCUGCAGCCUCCAGCUGCACAGCCACAGCUGACUGGUCCUAUCAGCCUCCACAGUUUUGUACAGCUCAGCAGCAAGGCCGGGCUGUUUGCAUUUCUCACCAGCCAGGGGAAAGGCCCUUGCAACAGGGUAAUCACUGCACAGGGCACGCAGGGGAGAGAGGUGAGCUUGCCACUCCUAAUGCUGAUUAUUGCAUUUGCCUUCCUCAGAAGCAAUCGGUGAGCAGAGCAGGAAAAGAAAGGAGGUAGCAGUGAGGUGAGCACCACCUGACCUGGUGCAGAAGCCAUGCAUUCCUGACUCGUUUCUUAGUCUACAGCCCUACCGACAGCCAGUCUCCCCCUAUUCACACUCAUAUGCAUGCAUGCUUGUGUGCGCAUGCAUGAGGAGGCCAGGGGUCAACGUCAAGUGUCUUCUUCAGUUGCCUAGUUUUUUGAUACAAGGUUUCCUCACUAGAAUUGGAAUUCAUGGAUUGAGUUAGCCAAACUGGCCAGCAGGCUGCUGGGAUCUUCUUGUCUCAGUUUCCCCAGAGCGGGGACAGCAGAUACUUGCCAUCAUGCCAGGCGUUCUACAUGGAUAUUGGGAUCCAAACUCAAGCCCUUAUGCUUGUGUGGCAAGCACUUUACCAGAGUGGUCCAGUUCAUCCUUUACGUCCUCCUCGAUGUGCUCACAUCCCAAUGCUCACAGAGGCUUCUCCGCAUGCCUUCAAAUACAAAACUGAACACCAACCCAUUCGAAGUUCCUUUCCAGUACCACUAAAGUGUUGCAAAGCAGAAUUUGAAACAUUAUUUGGGAUUCGCUGUGAGUUUUCCGAAGCAGAAUGCUUUGGGAAGGAUGGUUACAUGGCUCACAGCACGCCCUGGCAAAGUCUCUUAAAGUGGCUCAUCAUUUCUGACCCCUUAUCACAUUGCAUCUGUUAGUUACCUUGUUCCUAAAUGGUUAGACAUCACAGACAGCGUUGGUAUGAGCUGUUCUACUAAGUAACCCUGUAUACAGAUGUGAAAGUCUAAGGAUAAGACUUGGAAAGGAUCGUUUGACAGAGUACACAUGGGAAAAAUAAACUAAGAAUAUAGUUCUCACGUACAACUGCCAUAGCAUCAUCACUAUGCUAGGCACAGUCCCAUAGAGUCUGAUGACAAUGUGCAGUAUGUCAUCUCACAAUCUAACGUUCACUGGAAGCACAGUGUCCAAAAUGCUUCAUUACAUUGGAUAGAAGCUAGAAAUGCUAUUCUGCAAAACUCAGGGCACCUGGCAAACUGAUGGCUUGCUCCUUUGAUAAUUUCAUAAUUUACAAGUUCAAAGAAGUCUACUAACCAGGCAGAACUGGGUCAUGACCCAGAAAUGACAGAACCUUUGAUAGACAGGAACUCAGUGUACUCAGUAUUAAAGUAGUCAGGACCAUGUCAUAAAUCUAAUCAAAAUUUCUAUGAAUGUUGAUAAAUAAAAUAUGUAAUAGUGGAUUUAUUGGGGAUAUUACCUCAAAAAACAUUUUUUGAGAAACUGUAUCUAUUGAUGACCCCAUUGAUGACUGGAGACCAACAAAUCAGCCUAGACCAGCAUAUUUGUAACCUGAAUCAGGGAUGGUUCUGACCCAAGGCUAGCCAAUGACUAGAAUGGCUGAUUGUGUUUAGUUGCUGUCCUCCAAGGCUGAAAGGCCCUGGACAGCAAGGGCCUGACACUAAGAGGAAGCCAGAAAAGCCGAUUGUUAAAGCGAAGAGGAGUGGAGUAGUUGGCAGAUGCCAUUGGGACGUAAAAAUGGGGUGAGAAAUAGAGGAAAGCUAGACUGUGAAGCUCUGAACAACAGAAUGGCUGCCUGUCCUCUGUUUUGACAUAGUGUCCAUAAAUAGGUAUUGAUAGGGUAAGAAGAGGAAGGUGUCUUAAGACUGCUAAGUUUCAGGCCCCGUGAGGACUAAGCAUGCUUAGCUUAAGGUGAUGGUUGUCUGCAGAUGCUAUCCGAGGUCUACCACUAAUGGAUGUUUUUUUUUUCUUUUUUAAUUUGAACUUGCUAUAUGGUGUAUCUGUCUGUUGUUACCAAAGCAGCUGGAAUCUUGCAUAGAUGUGACCAGACUUUCUAAGCAAGAACUCACAGCCCAGAUUUUGAUGUGAGGCCUCUUCCUUGCAUCUCAGCUAAGCAAAUGCUCAUUGCCUACACUUCUGUUACUCCAUCCUAUGCCUAAUGUCUUAGAAAGUCCCCCUUCCAACAGGGAAACAUUUGUAACCUACCAAACAAGACAUUCCGGGUAUCCUAUAGUCUAACCAUGUCUCUUUUAAAUGAUUUUCCCACAUGACUUCCUAAUUGUGGUUCUACUCACAAGACAAGCAUUCAUGUAGUGUCUCUCUCCUAGACUUUGAUCAGACAUUGUUUAUUAAACUGCCUUAAGACUUUAUUUCAAAUGGAACAAUCCAGAAAAAAACCACAAUUUCUCCAGUAGAUGUCUUCAAAGUCUAAGUGAGGUGGCUUGUCUAUAUUAGUGACACCAAAGUUGGACACCUCAAAACCUCUGGUUCCUAAGCACAAAUGGGUGUUCCACUGAAGAUUCCCUAUCUGCCCUCACUCCCAAAUAGAGACAGGGGGGAAGAUGGUGUAAUUACACCACCUCUUGGUCUGCCAAAUUCUUAGAUUAUGUUGUUAAUGAAAAGAUUGGGUGUAUUUCUUUUUUGUUUGUUUCUGUAUUUAAAGCUUUGUACUCUUUAAUGACCAUUUGAUUUAGCCCUUCCUUAUGACUUUACAAGAUUCUAAUAUGGUCUAUCUUGAGACUCUAAUGGAACACUUAAAUAAAUGUGCAAGCUAUUAAAAUAGUGCUAGAGAAUAACUCCAAAGAAGGAGGUAUAAAUAUUCAUAUUCACAAUAUCUUAUAGAUCAAGACUGAAUAGUAAAGGACAAUGGGUGUGGACAUAGCCUCAGCUAGAGUAUCUGUCAUGGUUAGAACCAGGUGGGUCUCAUUCAUUUGGGAAGUAGAGAGUCCUGUAAUCAGAGCAGAUUCUUUCUUCUUUUUAACAGAACUGGUGCAGUAGCUUGCCUAGAUCCACUGCAACAGAAGCUGAGGUGAACCAUGUUAUGGGUCUUGGUUAAGCUACGCUGGGAAAAAAAAUCAGCGGCAAGAGUUAACUUUUUAGCAGUCUAUAGUUGCUGUUCAUAUUCAUGUUUAGGACCACUUCAGAGCCAACCUAGUGGUCAUUUACUCUCACUUCAGUUUUAAUUGGUCUAGCUCAUAAACAUUUCAUAGUCUGUAGUUGAAAAGGAACCCUUAUCUUUGCUUCAACAGUCAGCACACCAUCCAUAUUCCUUUUUAAAGCCUCACGUACAAUACAGUUUAUUGAGACCAAUGUUAGGUGACACGCCUUGGUCUUGCAGAUGUGCACAUAGCAGAGAAUCAAGGCUGCCUCUCUAUCUCUUUCUCCUCCACCCUCUACGUCCUUUCUUCUUUGCCUAUGCUCCACCAGCUUUUAUGGCCAGGACUCCUUACCUUCACUGCAGAGAAAAUUUCACUCCAUUAAAAAGGGAAUUUUAAGGGAGAAAUUGGGCAAGUAAGGUCUUACAGACAAACACGGUUUGCCCUGUGGUUAUAAAAUGGAUUGCCAUGCUCUGCUUGGUCUAUUUACCCAUGAAGGGAAGAUGGGUAAAGGGAAAGAGCUAAAUACAAGCACCUGGGUAUGGUAAUGAUUUUUCUUUUGUUUUGCUUUGUUUUGUUUUGUCAUUGAUUAUGUGGAAGACAGGUACCUGGCUAUUUGCCGGCUGGAAAAUCCUACAGGCAGCUUACACUCUUUUGGGAUGCCAUAGACAUGACAUCCAGGCCUUGGCACCAGUUCCUCUCCAACCCAGCUUAUAUUCAAUGCAUUGCAUCUUCUGGAAUCUCAAAGGCUCUGAGUUGGGAAGGAGCCAAUGUCAUGGCCAGGGAACACAGCUUGGCUCCAAACCCUGGAAGACAAUGGAGUCCCAUUGUGACUGACACAGUGAGCCACUGGAUGGCACUGUGGGUCCAUAAAGAUGAGGAUGGGAGGACAUUUGUCUUUCUUUUUAAAAGGCCAUUUAAGUUUGACAGGCAAUUUGGCACAUUUCGAGUUUGAGAGUGCCAAAUGAUUUGGCAAAUAUUUCAUUUACCUCUGAAAAUAGUCACACCUGCUGUUGUGGCCUGCAUGAAGGUGGAGGUUGGUAGCUUCUCCCUCCACUCCCUUGUUGACGCCAAUUUCAGAGAUGAAAAAAAAGAUUUGACUAAGGAUAAGGAGACAACCUACCAUGGUUUCCACUGCGGUACCAUGCUCUGGAAAAUGGCCAAAGGUUUGUGUUUCUUCUGAGCCCAACCUCUCCAUUCUCAGGGAACAUCUUUAUGUCUUCCCAUGCUGCCUCAACCCCCAAAUAGGUAACUCAGCUAACUAUUGGCCGGAUGGAAUGAGAUUUGUAUGAAGAGUUGUGUCCUCUAGUGGUCCUCCAACCAAGAGCAUUGGGAAAAACUAUCCCCAACUUUUCCUGUUCUUAAAAAAUUUCUGCUUAUUACUUGGUGUGUUUAAUAACCAGAAGACCCAGGCAAUAUGAGAAUGCCUCCUAAGCUGCCUCUUAACCAUCCUGAAGGCAUUAAUUUGCUGAACAUGAUGGUGACAGUCAUAUGUGGACAGUCCAUACCUGUGGGAGAAUGUGGGUGACAGGCUGAAACUUGAGGCCUAGGCCAAGUUCCUAGUGUGACACAUUCAAGCCCAUCUCCCAUAAUACAUGCUGUUCAGUAGAGCAUAUUGGGGUACAAAUGAAUAAAAACACUGUUAUUAUCAGUAUAACUUUAAAUGUGAUUUAAUCUUUAAGAUGGUAACACAUUUUCAAAUCAAAUUACUGUAGCCAACACACCUAUGGUAUGAUGUAGGACCACUUGCCAAAUGCUAAUAACAGGUUGGGAAUGGAUAAGUUAGAGAAGAGAGAUUAGUGAGUCCUGCCAGGACUGUGCACCAACUAGUAAAAGAAACAGUAAUUGUGUCAAAUCUAUCAAUCUUUUGAGAAAUGCCAAGGAAGCAUGCUAUAGUGGAAUGCCUCUGGCUUCAAGUUUUGAGGAAUGGCUUGUAGUCCCAAGCCCACCUAGCAGCUGUGCCACAGUGCAGACAUUAUUAACUCUCUAAUCUGUUUUCUUACCUGAGCAUGGAAAAAGUAAUUCAGAUGAACUCUUGUAGCUUGACACCAUUGGGAUUUCCUUUAGGUUAGGCAGUUUUGAACAUUUUCAAAUAUCUUGGUAUAUAUUAGGAUUAUAUAUAGCCAUAAUAAAAUGGGAGGGUAUAUUUAUUUAAGUAAAGUCUAAAUUAAAUAAUUACCAUUUCGCGUAAUAAAUUUCAGUACCAUUAAAAAGAAACUUUUGGAACAGUGAGAUGCUUUAUGAAAAAUGCAUAUUUAUGCUUUUAACAUUUAGAUUAUGAGCACAAAGAAGCUCUUUCUUAAGUUUUUAUCUUUUGACACGUAUUAGUUUUUUCUUUAUUCAUGCCUCUGUAUCAUAUCACUAAAGUCUUACUUCAUGAGAGGCCAGAUGACGAACAUUAUGGAUAUUGAUGGUGAACUUGAUAAGAGGUUUCUGUGGCCUGACAGAGUGGACACCUAGCUGGAGCAGGCCGAAAAAGAAUGGGAAGUGAGGGAUUGUGUGGUGGUCGAUUGCGUGAAUGCUGUGUGUACUGUGCAAGUGUGAGGAUGGGAGUCUGGAUCACCAAGAGCUACACAGAAGCUGCAUAGGUGGGGCUGGCAGGAUGACCCAGAGAGGAAAGUCGCUUGCCGCUGAGGCUGAAAGACCUCUAUUUGAUACCCAGAAUCCACAUGGUUAAUGGAAAGGACUGGGCUCCUUCAAGUCAGCCUGUGACUGCCCCACCUACACAGUGACAUGCCCCACUCAAUAAAGAAAUGAAUGCAAUUUAUAAAAAAACAGAAAAACUGGGCUUACCUGGAGAUCUGCUUAUAUUCCCAGUGCUUGAGAGAAGACAUGGAAUGCACCAGGGUGUGCUGGCUAGACUAGACUAGCCAGAUCCCAAGUUCCUGGUUCAGUGAGAGUUCCCGCCUCAGUGAAUAAAGACCAAGAGAUCAGCCAAUGUCAACUCUUGGUCUCUUGGAUGCCUACUCUCACACAUGUGAGUAUUAGAGUAUGUAUAACACACACACACACACACACACACACACACACACACACACACACACUUGGUCCUCUGUACAUGUUUUGCAUCUGUGAAUUCCAGUAAGUGCAGGUUGAAAAUAUUCAGAAAAAAAUAUAUAUGAACCAUGUAUAGAACAUUUUAUCAUUGCCCUCACUUCCUAAAUCAAACCAUAUAACAACUGUUUAUAUUAUCAGUAAUCUAGAGAUAAUUUUAGACAUAUAGAAUGAUGUUUGUAGACUAUAUGCUGUUAUGUCUUAAAGUUUGUGUACAUUCAGAACCCAUGUCUCAUUAUUAUUGAAGGAAAAGAGUAUUUACGAUUCUUACAAGGAUUUUUUUAAAAGAAAAAAAGCCCUAACCAACCAACUGAACAACAACCACAAAAAGGUCCCAACCAACCAAACAACCAACCAACCAAACAACUAACCAAACAAACAAACAAAAAAUAGGGAAAGAAAAAGAAAGAGGUAGUAGCCAGUACAUGAAUUCUAGAGAAGCACUCUCUUCUGAGAAGGUGGACACACUAAGGUGCACUACAUCUGAAGGAAAAUAAAUAGAUAAUACUUAACCAUAUAUUUGGAAUUCUCACUAAAAGAUUGAGAUCUGGUUGUAGAUCUUGUGCUUAUUUUAACAAAGAGCUAGACCAUCUUGUGUGCCCCCUGUCUUUAAGCAGAACAGUCAGGGUGGAGGAGGAUCCAGGAGAACUCCUUGCUCCUGCCAAGUUAGCAGGCUUGAAUUUAAGAGACCAUAUCAUCCAGAACUGGCCAAUCAAGGCAUCCAAACCUCUCAUUAAACUGACUGUGGAAACUGAGGUUAAGAAGAAUUAGGGCUAAAGCUUUACUCUCAGAAUAGUAUUGGGUAAGCAUUUAAAAAAUGGCUUUGGGACUAGAAAUAGCUCUGUUUGGGUGCAAUUCUACCAUCAUUUAUCAGUUGAGUAACCUUUAAGCAAGUUAUCCUUGGUUCUCACAUCAAUUGAAUGAGGGGACUCUAUACUAUUUCAACAAGUAGGCACUGGAAUGAGAUAUUUGUCUUCUAUGAUUGUUGUGAAAACAAACACAAAGAAGACAAAUGCUUACUCCAGUGCUGAACAUGAGGUCAGGGCAAACUCUGAUGCUUGUUAGCCAUUAUAUGAGCAUUUGCAUGCAUGGAAAUGAAACGUUAUAAACUUGCAUGUACAGAAAUUCUAAAAAUGUUAUGGAUACUUCUACAAAUGGAAUAUAAUAAACACCAGAGAAGGCACACAAGCCACAAUGUUUAGUCUAAGCCUUGCUAAGUGCAUGGCCAGCUGCAGUCACCACACUCAGAGGCUCUUACUCAUGGUUGACUCAAGUCUAGGUCCUUUUCCAAACCCUGUUUGGCCUGCCCGUGCACAACGGUUAUCUUCUAUAUACAAACUUCAGAGACACCUCCCUAACCAUCUGGGAACUGAAUACCUCAUUUCUCUCUUGCUCUUUCCCCUGGAGUUCCUUUGGAAGCAAACCAGGAGUCUAAAUUUGCUGGUUGUGGCUAAGGGCUGCCAGGAACGAAAAGCAAUCCUCUUUCAAAGGCUCCAGAAUUGGCUGCUGCGAAUGAAAUGAGAGCAAUGAAGCUGUGGGUGCAAAGCAGAAAGGAUAAGGGGCACCAGAGAAAAGCAAUGCCUUCCAACUCUUUCCCAUACCAGGAAGGAUGCUGCUAGUCUGCUUCCCUUCAGCAGGCCGGCCAGGCACCAUUCCUGAUUUGGCCAGAGCCUUUGGGUGGGUGUCCACCUAUGUUGUCAUCCUCCCCCCAGUUCUUUAUGUUUUCCUAGAUCCUGUAGCUUAGGAUGUUUGCUCUCUCUAUUGGGAACCGCCCCCUUUUUAUAUAUAAAUUCCCAGCCACCACUUUGCUUAACUAUAUUUCCAAUGUUAGUUUUCUUCUCACUGAAGAUGAGCAACAUAGGGCCAAAUUAAAACUCAUAGAACAGCACAAGUUAAUUGGAGUCUGAGAAGAUCAGGAUACUUGAAGCUCAGCUUGAUAAAAACCCCACAGGGUUUGGAAAUGAGUCUUAUGGGAACCAAAAAAUAAAAUAAAUAAAAAAGAAUCUGCUUUCUCUUGCCCCAGGGAUCCACUUACCAACUUUCUAUAGUAAUCUCUAAACUUCUCAACUACAAUCAAAUGCUUAGUUUAAAUAAACAAUAUGUUUAUGCUUCUACUUUACAUAGACUGGUGAAAAAGUGUCUGAAGUGAAAAUUAAAGUUUUAUAAUCUUCUUAGUUACUAACAUAAACUAAUAUAAUAGAAAAUAUUUUAGUAAGGCAAUUGACUUCUUUUUUGAUGGAGUUGACGUACUCAUAAUUUUCUCUUUCUCAAUUAAAUAUACAAAAAAUCUAGCUAUGCCAUGUAGUCUAAUGUACCCUUCCUGCAGGUUUUCUUUUCAUUUUCAAAUUAUACUUCUAGAAUGAUGAUACAGCUUAUUUGGCAAAGCACUUUUUGUACAACCAUGAAAACCCAAGUUGGGAUCCCAAGCACUCAUAAAAAAAAGUUCAGCAGUGCACAUCUGUAACUUGUGCAGUAGAAAUGAGUCCAUGGAGCUCAAGGGUCAGUCAGUGUAGCCAAACAACAAGUCAAUGAGAUACCUUGCCUCAAAUAUUAAGGUGAAUAAUGAUUGAAGAAGACACAUACAACUUCUAUGUGUGAGCACAUGUGCAUCCGCACCCUCACGUGCAUGUGCAUAUACAUAAAUAUACAACACACAUAUACACACAUGUACACAUACCUUACAGUUUUUAAAAAUGUGGUUAACACUGAGGACGUCCUCUAAGCAUCAGGUGGUAAUAAAUUUGAUAAGGAACUUAUCGGGAGUGAUCAUGACACAAAUAAGAACUACCAUUCUGGGCUUCUGCAUAAUGGGAAAUAGAAGAGUUAACCUUUAGUCUAUCAGCUGAAUUUUGGCUCAGAAUUUAAUGACACAAAGUCAUUACCCCCUGAAGGUCCAGGGUCUUUGGGGAAAUGAGUAUAGUGGUUUCAGCUCCAUCCCCAAAGAGCCUGGAGUCUCCAUCAGAAUGGCUGCCAUUACAAUUACAGCUAAUUGACACUAGUGCUGUUGGAAACAAGACUGAAUGAGAAGGCAGACUGAAAUCACUUGUGUGUACCAUUCAAGGUAGCCCGGAGCAGCUAAAGGCUGCCCUUCGCCACAGCUCAUGAAAACUUUAGCUUUGAAAUUUAGGGAAAACAAAUGGAAGGCAUGAAAAUGUCUACUCAUAAAUUCAGUCUCAAAGCCUUUCUUUCCAUACAGAAUAGGGUUUCAAUAGCAGUUCCUAUUCAGGCUAUAUUUUAUCAAAGUCCCAUCUGUGUUGAGAUCAUGAACAAAGACAAGGUAAAUCAGUCUACUUCCAGUGAGAAUCAAGUAUCUCUGUGGACAGCUACUACUGAAUCUGAACUAUUUCAGGUGAAAGAAUCCUAACUAUUGCUUGUUCUGGGCUGGUCAACGCUGGUUCUUCAGAAGAACAUCUGUUAGAGAGCUUUUAAAAUUGACUCUAGUUGGACAUUUAGAGGUGUGGGUUGUUCACUUCCUCAUUUACUGGAGGUUGUAUUUAAGCUAUAAACAGCAACAACGAUAUAUUUUUAGGUUAAAAGAGGCAACUCGAUAUAAACAGUGGAGUGAAAUAACUCUGGGCUCUUUACAUAUUUAUAAAGAAGUUUCCUACUGUGUAACUCUUUCUUGUGAAAUGCCAUAAGGGAUGUGGACAACUUGUCUUCCGAUUGACAUUUCUAAAUUGGUGACAUGCAAUUACUUUCUCCAUAUUCACACUGCUAAGUAAGUUGAAGAUUUUAGAACAUAUACUUGAGGCUCAUUGAAAUCUUCCCUAAGUCUAAAAUGGACAUUCAAUGUCUUGAGAAUUGAUUUUAAAAUGUUAACUUCCCUACUAUCCUGAACAAAAUGGGCCUCUCUGGAAAAUUCCUGAAGACAGAUUGCUGCUGUGUUAACUAAUUCCUUAUCUUGGAACUGUUUCCUGUGAUUCCCUUGUUCUUACAGCAUUACAGGUGAACCCCAUCCGAUGGAAAAUUCUGCUUAUGUUCACAAUCCAAGAAGCAGAGAUUUUGAGUUGGAAGGUAGCCAGAACUGAGUGGGCUUCUGUGAUGGUUUGCAUGUUUGAAAACCCUGUGGAAGGAGAAAUUGAAUGCACAGGGAGUCUGGAACCGAAGGAAUGGGGCCCCAGGAGUGGUGAAACUGUGGCAAGAUGGAUUGUGAAUCCCCAAAGGCAAGAAGGAACGCCUACCCCAGUGUCUAAAUGGGUGGCAGGAAGAGAGAUUUAGAGUUAAACACAUCAUGGGGAAGGUGCUAGAGAAAGACUUUUAUUUCCAAAAACAAGUUAUAGUUUUCAUCAGAGAAUAAAGAAGAAACUGCAAAUGAAGCAGAUUUUUAAAGAGCUCAAAACCUGAAACUGGAAAAAAACCCUAAAUAAAUAAACCAACAGUCUGGUGAGAUGGCUCUGUGGGUACAGCUACUUGGUAACAAGCUUGAUGAUCUGAAUUCUGUCCUGGGACUCUAUCCUAGUUAAAGGUACUAUUGCUAUGAUGAAACACCAUGGCCAAAAAGAAGUUGGGGAGGAAAGGGUUUAUUUAGUUUACACUUCCAGAUCAGAGUCCAUCUUGGGAACUCAAACAGGGCAGGAACUGGAAGUAGGAGCUGAUAUAGAGGCCAUGGAGGGGUGCUGCUUACUGGUUUGCUCCUCAAGGUUUGCUCAGCCUGCUUUCUUAUAGAACCCAGGACCACCAGCCCUCAUUUAGCAUCAUCCAUAAUGUGCCAGAGCCUCUUCCAUCAAUCACUGUUUAAGAAAACGUCCUAUAGGUGUGAUGGCUAAGUUUUAAGUCUAAAUUACUGUGCUUAAGGGAUCCAUAAAAAUGUCUCUAACCUGUAAGCUCUACAUGCCCAAGGACAGACAAGUUCCUGGGAUACUGGGGCUAUUGUUCUUAAAAGAUAACAAACCCAUGUGUUUUUUUUUUUUUUUUUGCUUCUGUAAACAAGCUUGGAGUGCAUAGGAUAUGUGCUUGAUUAUACCUAGGCAGGAAGUACGUCAGGAUGUAUGCUUGCCUCUGAUUGCACGAAAGUGGGAAGUACUUAGCCUUGUGAGGUUUGCUUUUGACUAAUGUAAUUAGCGUCUGACUAAUGUAAGCUGGUACCACAUUCUGAGUAUGAGUAUGAGUUUUAGGUAUGAACCUGACCAGCCCCCAUGGCUCUGGUCAGAAUUUAAUAAAGUAUCUUAUUUGUUAAAUUUUA